rnacentral:tRNA from 1 species
GCCUGGGUGGCUCAGUUGGUUAAGCGUCUGACUUCAGCUCAAGUCAUGAUCUCAUGGUCGUGGGUUCGAGCCCCGUGUCAGGCU